AUAAAAUGGAGACGAGGAGACGCAGCGCGGCCUCCUGGGCGCCCAGCAACGUCGACAACCUGGCCAGGCCGCCCGGGCUGUAGGUCUCGCUUUCCAUGACUUCGAGGAACGACGAGGAUGACGUUGACGAGAGGACGACGCACAACGAAGAUAUACACAGAUGCACUGCUCGAUUCUUCUCCUAGACUCGCAGCAUGGCCGCUCUGGUCGUUGACGCGGCGCGUACUAAACUAAAACUAAACUCCUCCCGUAUACGUAACCCCUUAAUCGACGCGACGCGAGUUGUCGAGCUCCCGCUUCAGAGAACGCCCGUGAUUAACCUUCGCCACCGACCGUCGCCACUAUCACCACCGACUGCCCGUCGUCCUCGUCGUCCACCACCGUUGUGUUGUUGUUGCCGCAGCGGCGGUGGUGGCGGUCCACGCGCCGCAGCUGCGCGCGACGCGCCAAUGUGACAGCUGUCAGCUGACAGCUGACAGCUCGGCGCCGCGCGCGGGAAGACGGACGGCUUGCGGGCGCUCGCGACGUGACACGUCGCCGAGUAUUUAUUACUCACGAAUUAUCGAGACGCCGACUGACGACCCGGGGACGACUCACACUGCGAGGAGCUCCGUGUUGAAAACGGCGGACAUCGUGGUCGCGUCAACGUACUGCAGGGUCCUCGUCGUCGUCGUCGUCAUGUUGCUGAGUACGCAGUACGGCAUAAUCUUGCCGUGGAAGCAGCUGCCGGCGGAGCUGCUGUUGAUUAUCAGCAGCAGGAGGCCCGAGAUGGCGGCCAGGAUGCCGGCGGUCAUCAGACCGAGCGCAGGCAGCUUCUUGGACGAGAGAACGGGACCCUCCUCGAGCUUGAGGUAGCAGAGACCUGGAAGAAUGUAGGCGAGCGGUACCGCGGCGAGGAUACCGUUCAGCUCGAGGACGACGCCCAGGCAAUCCGUCAACAUGGAGAUCAGGUACGUCGCGGUUACUAUCGUCAAGGUGAGUAUCAGGUACUUGCGGUCCGAAUUCGGCACGUACGCCUCAUGUCCCUCCAACUCGUCCGUGCCCUUGAUCGCGGUCAUGAGCACCUGAAAAGCCAUGUGAGAUGUAUAAUAAUGUCAUAUUUUGGCGCAAUUUUUAGUUCAUCGGACCAAAAAACCCCAUCUUAUCGCUUAAAGAUAUCUUCGGGGUACUUCUGAACGUCUUUUGAAUAUGCAUGCUGUGUUCAUUAAAUGUCAAAGUGACGUCAGUUUGCUACCUGGAAUGGAACAAGAUGUGCGAAGAAGAAGAGAGAAGUUUUACCUCACGAGUAACGAAGCAUUCGAUGGGGAAGGUGAGCAGGAUGGUGCCACUGAACAUGACUCUGGCAAAGUUCAUCAGGUCGUCGUCCCAGCAGUAGUUUUCCAUAAGAUCGCCCUGUACGUACGAGGUAAAGGUGGCGUAGCCGACGACUCCGAAGAUCGCGGCGAUCAAGAAGGACGUGAAGAGGGACCAAUGCGUCACCACGUCCCACUUUUGUUGGGUCGCUCGCUCGAUCGAGCCGUAAAUUAGGAAGGUGUUGUGGUGGCACAUGAAGGCGAACGCCAUUAUACCCACGGACGGAACGACCCCCGGGAAAUUGGCGAAUCUCCAGCUGUCGCUCUGACUCGGACUGCAAAUCAAUCACGCCUGGAUAUAUGAUAAACGGGAUACAGCGAUUCUACAACGAGAGAGGAAUCGCGCCUUUACAUUUUCGGCAAGUGAAAACUACUCUCACGCUUACACUAUGGCGGACAUGGUGUCCAUCCUGAUGAAGAUAGCGAGGAGGAUGAAUCCGACGCAGACCAGAGAGAGAAAGGAAAUUUUCGCUAAUCGCGCGACGUUUCUGUAUAAGCAGAGCGGGAUGGUGAUGCCGAGGGUCGCCAGAAGAAUGACGACCUGUCGAUGCGCGAGGAUGCUCGUCUCGUUUAUCCCCGUCACCCUUAUCAGGACUUUCGUGACCGUGUCGCCGACGACGACGUUGUACGAUACCAUAGCUGCAAUCACCAUAGCAGCGGUUAAAAACCGAUAAGAGUGGAAGAAGCACAUCUGGAAUAGAAUACGUCGCUGGGCAUACCUAUGAAGGGAUAGAAGAACUGCAAUGCCGUGAGGAUAUAGAAUCCGGUGCGACCGAAGCUAGCUCGCAUCAGACCCUGAUAACUCAUCUCGCCGCAGAUGUGUCCGCUUCGCACCAUCAGAAUCAACGAGUAGUCGGUCAACACUGCCACCAGAAUCAACAGGACGAUGCCGAGACCGAAGCCAGCCUGGUGCAGAGCGUAUGAUCAGGAUAUACUCGGUGCUCAUUUAUUACCGAUCACGCCGCUGCCGAUGAUGGAAUUGAUGAAGUUGAAGCUGGCUAGCGGAAGGCUGUUAAAUUUACCGGAUUCCUCCUCCUCCUCCUCCUGCGCAGACACGUGUCGAUAUUAUCAUAGCAUAGUUUACGAUAAUUUAAGCGUGAGAAUAUUAUAAUAUAGAUGUAUAUGCAGUGCAACGUUAAUUAGGUAGAACAUAUAUCACGUAUAUUCGCGCGGCGCUCGUGAAUAUUCCGCGAUAAUAACGUUCCUAUAUUUUCUGACUGAUGAAUAUUAAUGAUACGAGCGCGAAAAGGCAUUUCGAAGUGUAGCUAUAUAUUUAUAUAUGUAUUAUAUACGUAUAUGUCAAGCGCCGCGGGUUGUUAUAAACUAUACCCCUUUUUCUCUCAUAGAUACAAGCUAAAUAAUUCCUAACUAGCGGAAUAAUUUGGAACGAUAUUUAUUCUCUUAAAAAAAGCGAGAAAAAAACCGAGUACGAUAGCGUAGAUAAGUUGUGCUGUCUUGUAAUAGGGGUCAAUGAUCCUACAAAUUGACAAAUAUCGAAAGUGCAUCGUUCGCCGGUCGACUAUCUAUUGGAACGUCAAUAAUAAUAAACGUCGAUCGGUGGAAAUUUCUGUUAAUCUCUGAACUGUAUCGCGUGAUGAGUCACAAUGAGAGCGAAUACAAAUUAUAGCGCGACGUUCAGGAGAGAACGCGAGGCUUAAUUAACUGUGAUCUUAGUAAAUGAGAUGAAAAAAAUUGGAGUGU